rnacentral:lncRNA from 1 species
AAAAGAUUAAAUUUUGCAGACCCAGCUAAAUUGAGCAAAUAUAAAAUAAAAUCUGAGAAAUAUUUUCGUACAACUUUAAUACUGACAACAUAUGAUAAAGUAAAAACAAAAGUAAUGAAAAAAGUAAAAUGAUUUGUUAUAUCAAGCUGAUUGGAUCAGUUUUACUACAGAUAUUUGGUCCAGUCCGACAAAAACUUGCUCAUUAUUAAGUUUCACAGCACGUUUUAUUCUCGGGCCUCAAAGAUUAAAAGUGGUUUUAGGUGCCAACGUUUUAGAAGAGGAUCACACUGGAUUCUAUAUUUCUCAGAAGCUUAUUGAAUUAGUAAAUAGCUAUAAUAUUAAAAACAAAAUCCAUAUGGCAAUAAGAGACAAUGCUGCUAAUAUGAAUUGCGCUACACGUAUUGCAGAAUUUUCUGCAUUAGGAUGUGUCGCUCACAGUCUCCAAUUGGUAAUACAUGAUGCUAUCUUUUUACAAAAAAAUGUGUAAAUACUUAUUAAAAAAUGUAGAAAGAUUGUAAGACACUUAAGCGCAGUGAGCAAGCAUCCAGAUAUUUAUCUAAAUGUCAAGAGACAUGUGGUAUUCUACAACAUUCGUUAAUACAAGAUAUAGAAACUAGAUGAAACAGUACAUUCCUUAUGUUGGAACGUCUUAUUAAACAAAAAAAAUGCCAUCAAUCUUUAUAGCAUCGAACAUGGAGGAAUAGAAACUUUUAAUAAUGCGGAAUGGGAAUUAGCUAUAAAUAUUAUAAACGUGUUGAAAAAUUUCUAUGAGGCAACUUUAGAUGUAUCUAGUGAUGAUGCUUGUGUUUCUUUGAUUAUUCGACUCAUUACUAUGUUAAAUGGUAAACUUCAAUUAAAAGUCAAUGAUGUCAAUAAUGAAAACGAUGACAAUUCUAUUUUAAAAAUGAAACAAAAAUUAUUAGAGUCUUUGAAUAAACGAUUUGCUUAUGUUAAGAACUCAACGUUGCUAUUAACUGCCACUCUUUUAGAUCCUAAAUUUAAAACAAAAUAUUUAACAUUAGAUGAAAUCGAAAUUGGAAAGAAAGAAAUCACAGACUUUUUGUUUAAAGAAGAAAACUCAUCAAUAUCACAACAAGUUUUACAGGAUGAAACUAGUCAUGUUUACGUAGAAAAAUCUUUAGCUGCUAAUGUGUCGAAAGAGAGUUUGUGGAAAGUUCAUGAUAAUUCUCCACCAAAGAAGGAAAACAUAUUGUCAGAAGGAGAAACAUUUUUACAGGACACUUGAAUUUUCUUAAGAGAGCCUAGACUUCAGCGAAAUGCUAAUAUAUAUGCUUAUUGGCAUUCUAGUCCAUAUAAACAAUUACAAAAGGCUGCAAAUAAAUAUUUAUCAGCUUCGCCGACUUCUGUAGCAAGCGAACAACUAUUUAGCUCUGCUGGGCAAAUUUAUGCAGAUAGAUGCAGUAAUUUAUUGAGAAAAAAUGCCGAAAAACUUUUAUUUUUAUGUUACAACAUAACAUUAUUUAACUUUGAUUAUUAAGUUUCAAUAAAUCUAUAUAAAUAAAAAUGUAAAUGUAAGUUUGUUUGUUAUCUAAGAUCUCCGAAAGUUAUUCACUGUUUGCUCCAAAAACAUCCGUUAUAUUCUAGGCUUAAAAUAAUGAAUAUAAUUAUUUAAACGAGAAAAAAGAAUAGCAGAUAGAUUCACAUGUGUCUCUUUUUUGAAAGAACAUAAAAAAAAGUUAAAGUUUGGGAAAUUUGCGAAAUUUAAACAAUGGAUGAAAAUAAAUCUGGAUUGAGGGAAACAACUUGAACAACGUAAUAAAGAAAAAAUACAGGAAAAACCAAAUAAAGAAGAAAAUAAUAAAACAGAAGAGUUAAAUAAAUCCCAAAUCGACAGAAAAGGAAAUAGUGCGUCCCCAAAAAUAGAAAUCGAGGAAAUAAAAAAAGUUAGUAGGGUGAGGCAAGGGAUGGGGAGCUAGGAAAGCGUAGGAUCCACGGGAGAUAAACACCGCCCCGAUCCCGAAGAAAGAAGCAAGAAGCGCAGAAAGCCAAGAACGGGGAAGCAUCCGUGAAAAAGUAUAGAUGGACGGUAGCAACGAAUAUUUGCAACACAAGUGAAUGAUUGAAUCCAGGAAAUUUAAUUGAAGCUGAAAUACUGUACGGACAAAUCCAAUUGGUAUUUUAGUAAACAAAUAAAGAGAAGAUAGGAUUAACAAAGAGUGUUUUAGUCUAAUAUGCGAGCGCGCGAAAAACAAUAAUACAAACACGCGCUAAAUCUAAACAUACUAAACAGACUGAACCACAGCAACGCGUGACCGGACACAGCUAGUGUUAAAUAAUAAAACUGUGAUGUAUAACUUUACUGUUAUACUAUGCAAUGUAUCUAAUACAAUUUCUAUUAAAAAGUUGACUUUUUAAAAGAUGUUUUUAUUUUUUGUAAAAAAUACACUUAUAUUGUAAUAAAAUAUAAUGAAUAAUAAAGUAUUAAUACAUUCUUAAAUAAAAGCUUAUUUAAUUGAUAAAAAGCUUAUUUGAUGACAGAAUACUUAAGUAUUAAAUAUACAUUUUUUCAACAGUCUCUUAAGUUAUAUACAUAAUAUGUUAUACAUUUUCUCAAAAGUUUCGGUUUUGGUUUCGGCCGAAAUUCAGAGAAGACCGAAUAUUCGUUUUCGGUUUUGGCCGAAACAAAAAAAAGUGGUUUCGGUCGGACUCGACAAAAUUUACAGAAAAUCCAUAGUUUACGUUACUAUAGAUUUUUAAUACAAUAAAUUUUGGAACGCAGCCGAAAUUUAGCUUCGUGAUUUAGCUAUUUAUUUCGCACUACUUUACAGAAAAAAGAA